CGGCCAGGGAUGUGCUCGCGGCCUAUCAGCUUGUUGGUGGGGUAAUGGCCUACCAAGGCUUCGACGGGUAGCCGGCCUGAGAGGGUGACCGGCCACACUGGGACUGAGACACGGCCCAGACUCCUACGGGAGGCAGCAGUGGGGAAUAUUGGACAAUGGGCGGAAGCCUGAUCCAGCAACGCCGCGUGAAGGAUGACGGCCUUCGGGUUGUAAACCUCUUUCAGUACCGACGAAGCGCCGAUGAUGGUGGUGACGGUAGGUACAGAAGAAGCACCGGCCAACUACGUG
rnacentral:rRNA from 1 species